UACGAAGGGGGCUAGCGUUGCUCGGAAUCACUGGGCGUAAAGGGUGCGUAGGCGGGUCUUUAAGUCAGGGGUGAAAUCCUGGAGCUCAACUCCAGAACUGCCUUUGAUACUGAAGAUCUUGAGUCCGGAAGAGGAGAGUGGAAUUCCUGGUGUAGCGGUGAAAUGCGCAGAUAUCAGGAAGAACACCCGUGGCGAAGGCGGCUCUCUGGGACGGUACUGACGCUGAGACGCGAAAGCGUGGGGAGCGAACAGG
rnacentral:rRNA from 1 species